rnacentral:lncRNA from 1 species
AGACAUUGGGAGGCUUCCUGGUGGACAUGGUAAACUAGUUAAGGCUUCGGGAUGACUAAAAGUUUGACCACAGGGACAAUGAGUUACUGCAAAGAUGAGAGAAACAAACUGGAGAGAACGCGUUGCAGUUGGAUCCUAAGGGCCAGUGAUUCCAGGCUGAGAAUUCUGAUUGGGUCCGAAAGACAUGGAGGCGUGGGAGCCAGCUUAUCAGUUUAUGAGGUAGUAUGGUGGAGGAUGGUUUGAGAAAUGAAGACUGACUACAGGGCGUCCAGUGUUUGUUCCCAUCCGAUAUGCUACACAGUAAAUAAACUGUUAGCUGCCUUCCCCGACUAGAAAGAAGGCUCCAAGAGAGCAGAGAGACCAGGAUGUUUUGCUCGUGGUAGACUGAGUCAACGCUCCAUGUUCACCAACAAUGAAGGAAUUAGUGAAUGCAGGAAUCAGUGAAUGAAGAUUGACACGUGGCAUAGCUCCCCGGGGAACCAAAAUGAAAGAUGAGAAAUUCAAGGUCUUGAGAGAUUAAGUGGACUUCAUCUUGACUCCUUAAACACCAGAAUUGCCACAGUGCACACCAUCAGAGGAGCCUGUCUUCACAAGGCCAGCAGUGAAUUGGAUAGAGUGUGCCAAGUGGCUGGAUCAGCCUGUCCCAGGCUGGCAUUCUUACCAUUAACUGAACUGCAGGACACCGUAACAGUACCUGU